AAUGCCCCUCGAGGCGUUGCAGCUCAGCAGAGUGGCGCUGCGUCAUGAGGAGGCGGAGAGCAUCAGGUGGGGGUCUGCACCGACGCUCUACAACUCGGAGGACUCGAGUCGGUCUCGCCACCAGCAGG